GUAGAAGAAGAAGAAGAAGAUCCGCCAUUGUUAGCUCUGUUUUGAGAUUUACAGUUUUUGAACAUUUGUGGAGCAGAGGUGCACCAUGGCUUGCCACAAUGUCACAAUGGGUUCUUGGAGAGCCGCUGCUGUUGACUUGCUGCAUGUCUCCUCUCUGCGGCAAAACUCCACAAAUACUCCACUCACCAAGUUCCAGAGGGAGAGGAUCACCAGCCACCACCGGCCGUACUAAAGGAAGUGGCUCUAUGUAGGGAUGGAACAUAGCAACUACACCAGCUGGGACACACCUAGCCAACUGAAAGUCAAGCCAAUAGUCCCUGAAUGUUGCCAAGGAGACACACUGCACCACCAAGCCAAGCCAAGCAAGCCACAAUGCAACACAAGCCUUCUACAACACCUACAGCCAUCAGCAACACCCAGAGUACAAGACAACACCUGGAGUCAUGAAGAACAGUUAGGAUGGAUUAGCAGUUUGGAAUGUUUUUCUUUUAAGGACAUUUGAAGACAAGUUUGGCAUGUU